CCCCCCAACCACUUUUUGGUUUUGUUUUGUUUUUUUACUUUCCAAUUCAUCCCGGAAGGCUCUAGCGGACCCGCUUGUCGGUCCCGAUGUUUGACACCCCUGGUAUAUGGGACGGACAUUUAAGACAAACGGUGUGAGAGGGGCAAAAAAAAUGGGUCCAAAUCUGGUUGAUUGCUGCUGGCUUUUUCAACCGUUUUUCACAGAAUCUGUCACGACUACAAUUUAGCUAAUUUCAACUUAAAGUAAAUCAUCAUUUUUCAAAAUUGCGAUUUUUUUGGGGGGGGGGGUGAAUUUAAUUUUACAUUGAAAUGCACAGCUUCCCUCCUCCUGGACUUACAGGGACAAUCGUAACCUACUUUUUUUUUUGUAACCCCCCCCCCCCAACCCCCCACAGCCAUCAACCAGACGUGUCCAUCAAUUUUUUCCCCCCCACCCGCCCUUUCACGCCAUGCCGUCCAAUCAGACGCUGCCUAACGCUAUUGCUCACUCGUUAUUAUAUAUCAGGAUGUCCUUCUGUUUACUUUUGUUUGAUUUUUUUUUUCUUCUUACUGAAUAGUCAUUUUGUUUUAAAAACGAAACAAACAAAAAAAGCGAUGGUUUGCUGUUGUUGACUGGUGUGUGUGUGUUAGGGGGGUGGGGGGGCGGAAUGACAAACCUUCCUUGACCUCUGCAAUUAAGUGUGUUGUAUGUGUAUAUUUGUUUGUAAAUACAUAUACACACCAGCCAUGUACAAAAAUGCUCUGCGGUACACCAUCUUUGGCAUAAAAAUGACGACGGGGGGGAAAAAAACACAAAAAGGUUAGCAUAAAGUUUUUUGGGGGGUUUUUUCGGGGGGGGGGGGGUUCCUCUAUAAAUAGUAUUGAUACUGUGAUAAUGGCUUUUGUUGAUUCUAAAAGGAGACGUCACAGAGCUGAGUGGUCAAUUAGCAGUCAUAUAAAUACGUGAUGAUUUUAAGAGUAAUUUUUUUUAUUUAUCUAAUUUAUGGACCAGAUUUCAAGGUGUUGAUAAUUUCGACUGCCUUUUCUUCCGUGUUAUUAGGCUUUCUCUUUGGUUUUCCUACGGACGGAGCCCUACCUGUGUCUGAACUGCUGUUUAAAAAAGAAAAAAAAAAGGAAUAUGUGGUAUUACAAGGACUUUUCGGCGUCUACUUUCUUUUCGGGGACGAUUUCCAUUUUUCUAAGGAGACCUCAUGUUUAAUUUAGUUGAGGGGGUGAAAAGUGUAUUUGCUUUAGGUUAUAUAUAUACAUUUUGAGACAGCGCUGUAAUGCUUACCUACCUAAAAAAGCAAAAUGACAUUUCAAACGGUGUUUUGGGAUUGGUUAGCUCUGUGUUUUGUUGCAUUUUUUUCAGGCUUGCUUUUGCUGGUGCCAAUGAAGUACUGAUGAACUUUUUCAGGUGAUUUAUUAAUCCCUCAUUGUCAUGAAGGGCUACCACAGUACAUGCAGAAACGUGACUCCCCCCCAGCCCAUUUUUCUUUUCUACACCCCCCCGUUCUUGAGUAAGAAUGGUCUGGUCUUCUGCGGUGUUAGCCACGACUAGAACCUCAUGCGGUAGAUCUAUCUUUUACAAACACAAAACACGACAGCUGCAAUAUGUAUUUGCUUGUCAGCCAAUCGCCAACGAGAAACUGUGUGGGCUAGAACACUUAAAAUGUGUCCGUUAAACACAACUGAAGUAUUUUUUGUGUGGUCGACGAAUGUUGGGGAAAUUAUCUACAUAUUCAACUCACUGCUUGUCAUACGUUUUGUAGUUUAUUAAUGAACAAUUGUGAUCUUAUUGUUUUAUUAUUUAGCUUUUAAUGAUUUUGUUUAUCCACACAUUUGAAAUACAAUGGAGGGAAAUCCUCUUAAGCUCUGUCCACCCCCCUCCCCCCGCCCCCCCACACACUCCAAGGGCCUUGAACGCACCGCCGUAAACAUAAACUUUAUUGGCCUCUUGUCGUCACUUAAUCCUUAUGUUCCAGUACUGUGCAAAGUGCGGUUCGUGGACCAUAUACGGCCCAAUGGAGCCUUUCAUGUGGCCCACCAUGAAUUUCUGUAUUUUAUUUCUUUAAACAUCCAAAUGUUAAUAAUAGGCAAUUUAUUUUUUCACCUACGUUUUCUAUAUUACAUUUCUUUCCCUUGGCUUAAAAAGUGUUUUCCAUUGAUCGUGACGUUUGCGCAGUAAUCCUUGCCGCCAAAAUACCCAACAACCGAGUAUUUGAAACCUGCCCCAAAAAAAAUGUUUAUAACUGCUUAUAUGAAAAGGUAAAUAUAUCCGGGGUUUAUUUUUUCAACAUAACCUUAAAAAUAGUUUACAGAAAUAUGAACGACAUACCUUGAGCUACCCCUUCCCACCCGACUCCCCAAGAGAAAGUUACAGAAAGAGUACAAAAAAAAUCCACUUCAAAAAGCAGUGAAGAGGUGGUAAUCCCAUUUUUGUGCAAAUGGUACGUUAAAAUAAAGCAAUUACAAAUACGUUUACUUGGGGUUUUUUUUAAUUGCCAAAAAGACUGCCAUUUGUUUUGUUUCACACUAAAUACGUCGCCAGCUUCUGCUUGAGCCAAGGUGCCAGUGUUAAGUGCACAAAAUAUCUUAAUUGCGUGUGGGGUGUAAAAAUUGACUGACAGCCUUUUUUUUGUAGUUUGUGUUGCACAGUGGAGUACUAUUUGGCACAUUUAAAUUUUUUACAAUAUACUGUAUAUAUAAUAUAUAUACAGGUAUAUCUAUAUAAACCAUGUAUGAACUGAAAAGAGGGACAGUGUUUGCAUGACACUUCAAUUUGUUCACUUGAUGUGUUUAUUUUCCUCACUAAAAUGACAACUAUUCUUUUAUUUGUUGCCUUGAUGCUCUUGUUACUUUGUAUUUUCAGAAAUGACCAGAACACUAUCGUUGAUAUGAUUUUAAGACCACUUCCCAUCCUCGCUUCCUCUUCAAGGCUCGUAGAGUGGUGUGUGUGUGUAAGGGGUGUGUAUGCGCGCGUGUGUGUUUGUGUAUGGAUGUAUGUAUCUAUAUUAAUAGAUAUAUAUAUAGAUAUAUGUGGUAUGACCACGCCAGGCUCGCAAAGUGCCAACACACCACUGCCAACCGGAGAUACCCCCUCCCUGUGCACCUCACCCCACUCACCCCCACCCACAUUCUCUUUUUAAACGAUAAGGCACCAGAGACUAAAAAGGAUAGAUGAUUAAGUGGGUAAAGAUUAUAUUCUAUAAGAACAUUUUAAAGGAUAAUCUGCUGUUUGUGUGUUCAAAAUAAGAAACUGUAAUAAUAAUUAUUGCAUGUGCUGUUUUUUUUUUGCAAGUGAGGGGCUUUGGAUGUAUUGACUGAAAGCCUUUUUGGCUGCAGUUGGCUGGUUAUCGAUUUACAUAACUCUUUGCCAUAUUUUUUAAUGUCUUCAUGCGUUUGUUUUGUUUUUCUCAACCACUGUUGCCUGAUCCUCAUUCAAACAUGAUGUAUGAUCAUUUUUUGCCGCCUUCUAAAGAAACAUAAUGACAAGGUUAUCUGUUUUAAACACUGAAAUAAAUUUGUUCCUAUACUUGCUGA